AGCGAACAUUGGCGGUAGGCUUAACACAUGCAAGUCGAGCGAGGCGUAAUAGUCGAGCGGCGAACGGGUGAGUAAUACAUGGAAAUCUACCCUGAAGUGGGGGAUAACGUCCAGAAAUGGACGCUAAUACCGCAUAAUCCAUAUUGGGAAAGCGUUGCAGCGCUUUAGGAUGAGUCCAUGGCUGAUUAGCUUGUUGGUGAGGUAACGGCUCACCAAGGCGACGAUCAGUAGCUGGUCUGAGAGGAUGACCAGCCACACUGGAACUGAGACACGGUCCAGACUCCUACGGGAGGCAGCAGUGGGGAAUCUUGCGCAAUGGGGGCAACCCUGACGCAGCCAUACCGCGUGAGCGAUGAAGGCCUUAGGGUUGUAAAGCACUUUCACCGGAGAAGAUAAUGACGGUAUCCGGAGAAGAAGCCCCGGCUAACUUCGUGCCAGCAGCCGCCGUAA
rnacentral:rRNA from 1 species